UGCGGCGGCAGCCUCAUCGCAGGUGACACUGACAUCGAUCGAUCUCUAGAACCCGCCUUCCUGCACUGCAACACGCCCAUGCCGCCUCUCCUCCCUCUAAGGCCGAUCUACUCAACACGUCAAGGUAUCAACACGCAGGAAUUCCUUUUUGUUCUCUAGCUGGUGCUCGACCAAAUGAUUCAAUGAGUUUGGAAUUGUAGAGGACAUGGAAGGUCGCUUAUUCAGAACCACGUAUGAUGUUCUUCAGUAAUUAAACAUCUUUUCUUACUCACUAUAUGUUCAGGUUGUGGAGCAUACAUUCUGGACCAUACGUCCGGCAGACAUUCUGUUAACUUGCAGGAUAUACUCACACAUGUAUAACUUGGCGGCUUGGCUUAUAGUAGACGUCCUUUUCAUUAGCUAUACUCAGAUCAAGUUGUGCUACUGAGGUAGCAGUAAUUAAUGAUGUUGUAGUUAGUUGUAAUCGAUGAGGAAAAACAGGUCUGGGUCGUAUUGUGUUAUACCGAAAACCAUUGAAAAAUACCAAUUUCAGAAAUAAUGACUUGCAUAUUAAAUGUUUUAUUGUAUACAAAUCUAUAUCCAGAUCAGUUGUAGCAGUUAUACUUCAUAUCGGAAAUAUUGAUAUUGCCAAUGAAACAUAAGAUGAUUUGUCUGGGAGACUAUAAUUAAGGAUGAUAGUCCAGGUUUCACCUUAAGUCUGUGGCAAAGCUAUUGGAGUGAAUACAUUUUGAUGUAAGUGCAAUAACUUCAUUCCUCGACAUUUCUUUUGGGAGGCAGAUGGCCUUGAUGCCGUAGCAUGAGUUGGUGUUGGCCAUAUGCCCAUACGUAUUGGCAUUGGCAACGCCAACUGGUUGGUGAUACUUCAUGUGAGGUUGAUGAGGCAACACGAGGAGUUUGAUAUUCUACUGGAUGCUCAACUAUUGGAAAGCCAGUGCAACCGUCAACAGAUUUAAUUUAUGUUCUCUUGCUCCAAUAAGGGUUCGUGUCGAGAUUGAUUUUGGGGGACCUGCGUGGGAUGCUCAACUCUGGCUUGAGCCUCUGAAGAUGUUCCCCACAACCUGAAGAUGUGAACUACCCUGCUGCUCCUGGUAUAUGUGUUGCUUCCGCUGGAUGAUGCCCUGUUGCCGCUGUUGCCUCAGCCCUCUAACUGUCGUCUUCUUCCCUUCUCUUGCUGCUCGAUGAAGUUGCUCAUGCUGCUAGCUUUGCAUGCUAUGGAGUUUUUGUCCCUACCUACGAUAAAUUCAGUAUUGAUCUACACAUGUGUUUGUACAAAGUUCCAAGACCUGGCUGGUGAUAUAGUUUUGACUUCUAAUGAUUUGAUCAUGUAUGCCUUUUUCUGGAGAUAUAUGUAUGUCAGUAUGCAUUAUUAAGUAUAUACUGGGCAUAGAAGGGGGUGUAUUGUAUCUCAGUGUGUAACAUCAUAUUUUAACCGAAUAUUUUAUUCAAUCUGAAUUUAGAUCUUUUA